GCGAGCGGCGGAUGGGUGAGUAACACGUGGGGAACCUGCCCCUAAGUCUGGGAUACCAUUUGGAAACAGGUGCUAAUACCGGAUAAUAAAGCAGAUCGCAUGAUCAGCUUUUGAAAGGCGGCGUAAGCUGUCGCUAAGGGAUGGCCCCGCGGUGCAUUAGCUAGUUGGUAAGGUAACGGCUUACCAAGGCGACGAUGCAUAGCCGAGUUGAGAGACUGAUCGGCCACAUUGGGACUGAGACACGGCCCAAACUCCUACGGGAGGCAGCAGUAGGGAAUCUUCCACAAUGGACGCAAGUCUGAUGGAGCAACGCCGCGUGAGUGAAGAAGGUUUUCGGAUCGUAAAGCUCUGUUGUUGGUGAAGAAGGAUAGAGGUAGUAACUGGCCUUUAUUUGACGGUAAUCAACCAGAAAGUCACGGCUAACUACGUGCCAGCAGCCGCGGUAAUACGUAGGUGGCAAGCGUUGUCCGGAUUUAUUGGGCGUAAAGCGAGCGCAGGCGGAAAAAUAAGUCUAAUGUGAAAGCCCUCGGCUUAACCGAGGAACUGCAUCGGAAAACUGUUUUUCUUGAGUGCAGAAGAGGAGAGUGGAACUCCUUGUGUAGCGGGUGGAAUGC
rnacentral:rRNA from 1 species